GACGAACGCUGGCUGCGUGCUUAACACAUGCAAGUCUAACGGAAAGACCCUUCUUUUGUGGGGUGCUCGAGUGGCGAACGGGUGAGUAACACGUGAGUAACCUGCCCUUGACUUUGGGAUAACUUCAGGAAACUGGGGCUAAUACCGGAUAGGAGCUCCUUCUGCAUGGUGGGGGUUGGAAAGUUUCGGCGGUUGGGGAUGGACUCGCGGCUUAUCAGCUUGUUGGUGGGGUAGUGGCUUACCAAGGCUUUGACGGGUAGCCGGCCUGAGAGGGUGACCGGCCACAUGGGGACUGAGAUACGGCCCAGACUCCUACGGGAGGCAGCAGUGGGGAAUAUUGCACAAUGGGCGGAAGCCUGAUGCAGCAACGCCGCGUGCGGGAUGACGGCCUUCGGGUUGUAAACCGCUUUCGCCUGUGACGAAGCGUGAGUGACGGUAAUGGGUAAAGAAGCACCGGCUAACUACGUG
rnacentral:rRNA from 1 species